rnacentral:lncRNA from 12 species
AAAACUCCCCCUAGCCUGACAAUCCUUGUCAAAGGCCUCAUGUAGUUGUUUCGUGCUUCUAGACUCCUUCUUUGAAUUCUAAGUAUGGAAAACCAAUAAACAGUAACGAUGAUUUUUAUGCUAACUAGGUUGAAAUGGAUUCUCCAGUUCACCAUCAAAAAUCACUUGGACCAUAACACAGAGGCCAGCAAAUUGUUGGGUGAUCAGGAUUAUUUACUAAUGUUUUGACGGCUCCACUUAGCAUAAGGGUGAACUGGAGGCAAUUCUGACCACAUAGGCCCCCACACGAUGUUUUAUUGGCUUGGCCAGUUUAUAAAUCCUAUAUCCAUGAGAUAAUUGGCAACCCACUCCUUCACAGAUGUGGGUUAUGCAAUCAGGGUGAGAAAAAGAUUCACUGUAGCUGACCUGCUGGAAAUCUUUACUUUCAAUCUAUAAAAUAUAAUGAGGUUAUGAAUAUAAAAGUAUGGCUAAAUACCAGUGUUUUGUAAAGAAGAACACAAAGGUAAAGAGAUAUUGUGAGUAUUAUCAAGAUCUAUCAUCUACCUAUCAAAUAUUAAGAUAAUCAGUGUUAUGACCCUAUAUUCUACUUUUUUUUCAAGUAGUUCUUCAGACUUUUAUAGUGGAGUCCAUUUUCAGUUUCAAAGACUAUGUGUUACGAUUUUUUUUCAGUAAGUAAUUUUCUUCUGUUUACUCAUUGUUUAUUUUGAUAGUAGGCCUUAUAGAUCAAUUACUAUUAAUGAACUGGACGAGUCAAUGUAAUACCACAGACACAUGAAGGGUCAGUUUGCCAGCUGGCAUAAACUGUGAAAGGUGCAUUGUGUGUGUGUGUGUAUGUGUCAUAAAUUGUUCUGCAUGUUGAUGUAGCCAUUGUUAUUUGCAGAAAACUUUAUAUUUUUGUUAGGUCAAGAAGCCUGUAAUUCUCCAAGUGAUCCCUGAACCUUAUUUAAUGCAGCCAACCACAAAAGGAGCUGAGUUGAACUUUGGUGUCUGCAAGUUAGAAAGUAAUAACUUUCUCAUCUCUUCUUUCAGAAGCCAAGCUAAUGAGAGUGAAAUUGGGACGACAUCUACCAAAGGAGACCAAACUCUCGGAGAAAGUGCUCCAUCGUUUGUGCUUUUCCUGAGCACUCCAUGGACCAUACUUCUUUGUGGACCAGGCUUCACUGUGGACUAUGCUUCACCAAACCUAAGUAUUUCAACAAGACCCUAACCAGAUAAGUUAGCAUCAGUCCACAAACUUUGCUGCUCUUCCACUGCAAAAAACAAACAAACAAAACAAAACAAAACAGAAAAUGAAUUCAUUAAGCCAUUGAUAUAAAGCAAGAAAAAAUAGUCAAUUGCAGCACUGCUAUCAAAAUUAGAUUGGAAUGGCAGAUUGAAAUGAGACACUAUUUCACACCAACUAAUACAAAUCAAGUCCAGACUUGGCAAAAAGAGAGUGGCUUCUCUUGUAAAGCAUAUUUCACUAGAAUCAUCAUUGUCAUUUGUCAGCGCUGCCGUAUCCUUUUCUUCACAUCUCCAUCAUUAGCAUCAUUGUUAACAUCAUCAUCAUUCUGUUUAUAGUUAUCAGUUGUGUUUUUUUUAAGAAAUACACUAAAAAUUAAAAGUAGCCCCUAUCUGCUAAUGCCUGACUCUACGUUCACCAUGCUCUAGCUAAACCUGAUCCUCUCCCUGCACAUUAAAUCUCUACCUAGAACUCCAAGCCAGUAUAAGUUCUCUUCCUUCUUCCAGGACCUCAUUUAUUUUGAAUUCCCCAUAGCAGCCUAUUAUCAGGCUAUUACUAAUUUUUCAUUUAAAAUGAUCUGUUUUGGUUGUUGGCAAUCUUUUCAAAUGUGCAUAUUUUGUUGGUUCAGCUAGAACAUAAGGGUCUUGAAGGCAGAGACUGUGCUUUGUACAUUGAUGUAAACACCAUAUUAUUUAGAUUAGUGCCUUAUAUGUAGUAUUGUAUGAUAUUUAAUAAAUAUUCAAAUAAUAUUUAUCA